CGUGUGGUUUAAUUCGAUGCAACGUCGAAGAACCUUACUAAGGCUUGACAUGCCAGAAGUAGGAACUCGAAAGAGAGACCACCUGUAUCCAGUCAGGAACUGGCACAGGUGCUGCAUGGCUGUCGUCAGCUCGUGCCGUGAGGUGUUAGGUUAAGUCCUGCAACGAGCGUCAACCCUCGUCGCUAGUUAAAUUUUCUAGCGAUACUGCCCGUAAAACGAGGAGGAAGGUGGGGAUGACGUCAAGUCAGCAUGGCCCUUACGCCUUGGGCUACACACACGCUACAAUGGGUGAUACAACGGGUUGCGAGAGAGCGAUCUGGAGCUAAUCCCUAAAAUCAUCCUCAGUUCGGAUUGCAGGCUGAAACUGCCUGCAUGGAGUUGGAGUUGCUAGUAACCGCAGGUCAGCACACUGCGGUGAAUACGUUCUCGGGCCUU
rnacentral:rRNA from 1 species